AGUGAACGCUGGCGGUAGGCCUAACACAUGCAAGUCGAACGGCAGCACAGUAAGAGCUUGCUCUUACGGGUGGCGAGUGGCGGACGGGUGAGGAAUACAUCGGAAUCUACUUUUUCGUGGGGGAUAACGUAGGGAAACUUACGCUAAUACCGCAUACGACCUACGGGUGAAAGCAGGGGAUCUUCGGACCUUGCGCGAUUGAAUGAGCCGAUGCCGGAUUAGCUAGUUGGCGGGGUAAAGGCUCACCAAGGCGACGAUCCGUAGCUGGUCUGAGAGGAUGAUCAGCCACACUGGAACUGAGACACGGUCCAGACUCCUACGGGAGGCAGCAGUGGGGAAUAUUCGACAAUGGGCGAAAGCCUGAUCCAGCCAUACCGCGUGGGUGAAGAAGGCCUUCGGGUUGUAAAGCCCUUUUGUUGGGAAAGAACAGAAGCAGGUUAAUAUCCCCCCGUUUUGACGGUACCCAAAGAAUAAGCAACGGCUAACUUCGUG
rnacentral:rRNA from 1 species